AUUUGUUUAAAAAAAGUACAUCUCGGCCCUAAAGCCUCAGGAAAGACAAACAUUCCUUUUCCAAACAAAGGAAAACCACCGAGGUGGGGACGCGCGGCCCAUCGUUGCUUCUGGCUCGGAUGCCAGAUGCGGAGACGGCGGCUCUGCUCGCCUGUUGGUGGGGCGGGCUGAGGGAAGGCUCGCUUUCGCUGACUGAUCGGGAUUCAGCCGUGCAGCGAUAAAAGGAAGUUUUAUGCUAGGGAAACUUCGGUGAAAAUGAAUCUGCACCCGGGGUUUUGACAGGCAGCCAAGAUCAGCAGAGCGCCCCCCCUCCCACCGUGCAGCAGAGAGGGAUCCCCGCGCCCCCUCGUGUCCGGGGGGCCAGGAGCCCUUUCCGCUCUGGAGCAGAGCACGGCUCUCCACGGCUGCACCUUCCACAGUCCAGUUCAGAUGUAGCCAGGAGGUACAGGGUGAGAAAUAUCCCUGGUAUGUUCCUGGAGAAAAGAUGGAUAAGAAGGAGCAGCUAAUGAGAGCUUUCCCAAAGCCACAGGGUUGUAAAGAAGAAAGAGUAAAAGGGCAUUUUCUGGUAUGUUGACCCCUGAAGUAUGCAUACUGUGAUCCUACAGUCAGAAAACACCACAUUACAUAGUUAUUCCAUUAUGAAUUAUAUACAGGAUGUUUUCACUGCUUGAAAAUGGCCCAUUGGCUGUAGGAUUAGUGCAUGUGCACCUAAUGUUGUCUGUUCUCAUCAGCAAAGUUUUUGGAAAAUACAACAGACAAGACAGCUUUUUAGGAUUGAUGACAUCAUACACAUUGAGUUAAUGACUAAUAAAGAUCUUUUACUCCUGCCUUUGAAAGCAGAUUUCCAAUGAUAUUAUUUUUACUCAGAAUGAAAGAGGCUCUUGACUUCCUCCUCCAUUGCAGUUCCAAGCUGUGACCUGCUCUUUCUCUUUCAUUUGGGUUCAGAAACAGAUCCAGUAGUGAUGGUCCUGACCCUCGGCCGCUGACCGCUUUCCCUGUGGCUCCUGUGUCUUCCUCUGAUUGGCUGCUGUGUGUCAGAGCCAGUUUGCUCUUUAAUUGUGCGUUUGACAUCUUCUCCAGCAGUUCCUGAAAGGGAAAAGGGUUAUAAAAUCGCACUGAAGGUGUUUCAGAAACAGUGCAGAUGCUGAUUUUUUGCAUCCUUGUUUUUAAUGCUACCAAAUAUUAAGAAAUAGUUCAAAUGUCCCCUCCCUACUCUGAUGUUUAUAUGUGAGAGAACUCAAUUGCACAUUGUGUUGAGAAACCUAUCAUUAAAAGACUAUAAAAAUACAAAGAAUUUCUCUAAACAAUCUUAA
rnacentral:lncRNA from 1 species